rnacentral:rRNA from 1 species
ACGCUCACAGCCUGAUGGAGCAACACCGCGUGAGUGAAGAAGGGUUUCGGCUCGUAAAGCUCUGUUGUUGGAGAAGAACGUGCGUGAGAGUAACUGUUCACGCAGUGACGGUAUCCAACCAGAAAGUCACGGCUAACUACGUGCCAGUAGCCGCGGUAAUACUGAGCGGGCGUGGCGAAGGACG